GCCUAAUUACAGCUUAUGGCCAGGUCUGUGUGUAGCUAUGGUUUCUGUAAACAAACCAAACAGCCAACAGUUUGCAGAGCAGCAGACCAGAUAUCGAGAAACAAAGCUACUUUUAAACAUUAUCAAAGACUUGGAUAUCAAUAGGUUUUUGCAUAUGCGCACACAUCGCUAGGUCAACCUUUUCAAGAAGCUGGUAAUCUAACAAAGAGUGAAAAAAGAAGAAUGAAUG